rnacentral:rRNA from 1 species
AGCCAGCCGCCUAAGGUGGGACAGAUGAUUGGGGUGAAGUCGUAACAAGGUAGCCGUAUCGGAAGGUGCGGCUGGAUCACCUCCUUUCU